AAAAAGAGUAGCUUUGCAUUGUUUAUGUUCAACUUGACCGUCCGUCUUAUUUGAAAAAAUUUUAUAAUUAAUAUUUUUGUUGUUAUUAAAUAAUAAAACAUAAACAGUAUUUUAUGUGUGACUAAUCUUUUUUAUUUGUUUAGUAAUUUUUUUAAAUAAGACGGACGGUCAAACGUUGGACGCGGAAACCCACGACUACAAUUAAA
rfam:Oryza nivara chromosome 12, whole genome shotgun sequence.